rnacentral:lncRNA from 1 species
GUGGUGACUAACGGGUGCGAGAGGUCGAUGGGAGUGAGCGACAGAGCGGAUGACAUGGAGGAACUUGCGAACCUCAACAUGCCGGCAUGGAAGAGGGAGGCGACAGACAGUAAGGUGGUGUUUACUGUUUAGGCUCUAGGGCUUUUUGGGAAGCAGCGAAAAAGGUGUGACAGGGCACCAAAAAUUUUCGUGGAUCCAAUUGAUAACCCUCAGCCGUUCAAAUUUUGUCAUGAAUCUAUG